CCCUUAGACGUUCUGGGCCGCACGCGCGCUACACUGACCAGUGCAACAAGCAUCCGUCCUUGGCCGACAGGCCCGGGCAAUCUUUGAACGCUGGUCGUGAUGGGGAUAGACUUUUGCAAUUUUUGGUCUUCAACGAGGAAUUCCUAGUAAACGCAAGUCAUCAGCUUGCAUUGAUUACGUCCCUGCCCUUUGUACACACCGCCCGUCGCACCUACCGAUUGAAUGGUCCGGUGAAAUCUUCGGAUCUGAGAGAUGUCUGAUUAAUUUCGGACGCCUUUUGGAAAAGUUGUUUAAACCUUACCAUUUAGAGGAAGGUGAAGUCGUAACA
rnacentral:rRNA from 1 species